UACACACCGCCCGUCACACCAUGGGAGUUGGUUCUACCUGAAGCCGGUGUGCUAACCCGCAAGGGAGGCAGCCGACCACGGUAGGGUCAGCGACUGGGGUG
rnacentral:rRNA from 1 species